AAAAUUUAAAACCAGCUCUGUAAUGUAAACAGUUUCCCUUUUCAGUAGUAUCAUUCUGUUGCUGGUGUAUGUCAGAUCAUGAAUUAAGUAACAAGUCAAUUUCACUCUUCAAUUGUCAUUCCUUUUGACAUUAUUCCCUCUUUUAAAUAUAAAAUUUUGUAAGAGUAAGUUCCCUUUGGGUAGGUAGUUUUUAUUUGCAUAAAGUUAAAGGUUCUGAAAACUUUAAUUUUAAUUUAAAAUUCAACUUCAUUUCCUUUUUAUGAAGGUUAAAGGACACCUACCCACAAGAAAGAUAACUCUGAAACAAGCAAAGGGAAAUAACUCUGGAAAUUGGAAAAGAGGGAAUGAUCUAAAUAACAUUCCUUUAAAUGAAUAUUUAAGUACAUUACAUAGAAAAUGAAUAAGAUAAACAACAGAAAUGGAUAUUAGAAGUGUGUCCUUAUUGCUAUAAUACAAAUGUGAAAGACUUUUGUAUGGGUAAACUUAGGGAAAAAUAAGCUUCCAGAAAAAGCCAUUAAAUUUUGUGUCAUUUAUGUAUAAGAAUUAUUGUGAAAAUUUCUUAGCAUAAUGUAUAUAUUUAUUGUAUAGUAUUUUGUAUAAUUUAUUUAAAUGCGGCAAUCAAAUAGAAGAUAGUUUGCUUUACUUUUAUAGUCCCUUUUGAACAUUUAUACCUGAGCUAUUUAUGUAAACUUUUUGCAUCAUUUGUUGUCCAUCAUUCCUGAGUCAAUUUUUAUUUCUACAGCUUCACUUGGUGUCCGUCAGCAUUCCCCAUUCACCUAUUAUUUCAAUAGCCAUCAUUGAAUUGAAAAAAUUUAUGACUGCAAAAUUUUAAAACCUUCAUUUAUUCCUAAUCUCUUGAAUAGGAUUCAUUUGAAAAUAACUACUUAGUGUUAAUAACCCUGCACACGGCAGGUAAAUUCAACUCCAAUUGACAAGGAUUGUCAGUUUUCCACCAAUAAAAACUGACCACCAAUAUAGCCGAUAGCCAAUUGUGCUAAAAGUGGUGUUAAAUACUAACAAUCAAUCAAUCAUUGUGUUAAUAUUUUAUUGAUGGUGUUAUGAAGAGUGCACUUUACUAUUCCCAAUCAACGUAAAUUUGAUUUGCACAUAAACAAUGCAAGACUCUGCAAUAGAGUUUUUUUUGUCUUCAUUUUUAGUCAAAUUGAAACAAUUAAAAGAUAAUAAACAAUAUUAUGACUAUCAUUCUUUGAAUGAGCCAAUGCAGCAGGGGAGCAAUACACUCUUUAUCAUGUAGUUUUAGUUUUCAGAUAUUUUUAUAUUGUUAGUGUAUUGUUUUUGAUUUAUUUCUUGCAGUUGUGUAUUACAACUGAACUUUAUAUUGUUUACACUUGUUAAGUACUUUCCUUGACCAAAGGAAUAUGUCAGAGCAUUAAUGAAUAAAGAAUAACUAUACAUUGUCUCAAAAUAUGAAAUUUACUUGUACAAGGCUUAGAAACAGAUAUAAUGUGAGGGGCUUUCCUGAGCAUUUCUGUGUUGUUUCGAGUGUAGAACAAAUAAAAUUAAUGUAACAAAAUGUUUUAUUUACUACAAUAAUAUAAUAUAUGUUCUCUAUUGGAAUUUUGAAACAAAAAUAAAAUUAAUGUUUUGAGACAAUAUAUGGUGAAUUGUUUUCUGCAACUCUUCCAAAUGAAAAAGCUUUGUAAGAAAUCACCAUUUUGAAUUUUAACAGGAAAACACAAAUCAUCCGUGCUCUACAUCCUUUCUUGUCAUAAUUAAAACUCUACGAAAACACUUAUCAUCGCCAAUGUUUAUACAGUCAAUUCAUUUUGACUGCGUAAAUAGCACAGUUGCAGUAUAAAAGGAUAUUGCUGUCACAGUGUUAAUGUUAAUAGGUUGAUGUCAGUGUCACAGUGUUAAUAGAAGGUAAAGAUUGAGUGUUAUUGAUCAAAGGUCAAUGUUGGUGUUAAUGAAAAAAGGUCAAAUAAAUGUACAGUGUGAUAACCAAGGUUGAUAAAACAUUGUUUAAAUUAAGAAAAGUUGUCACACUGUUAAUUUCUAAAUAUUGAUAUCACAGUGGUAAUGAAUAAAGGUCAACACCUAAGUGUUAAUAACAAAAAUUUGGUCAUAGUGUUAAUGACUAAAGGUCAACACCAAAGCAUUAAUAACAAAAAUUUGGUCAUAGUGUUAAUGACUUAAGGUCAAUACCAAAGCGUUGAUUAAAAAAAAAAAUGGUCAUAGUGUUAAUGACUAAAGGUUGACAUCAAAGUAUUGUUGACUCACGGUUCACAUUUCAAUGUUGACAAAUAAAAGUAGACUCUAAAGUUUAAGUUAAUGUUGCCACUGUGUUAAAUUUCCAAAUCUAGAUGCCAGUGUAAAUAAAUAAAGUUUUACAACUUAGCGUUUAAGUUGAAGACAUAGUGUUAUUAUAGAUCAUACUUGUUCCACUUCUACCGAAUAUAUGGUUACGUGAUUCGAAUCCUCAUUGAAGGUGUGCUCUAAAAGGUUCUUUUUUUUACAUAAGAUUUAUCUCCACAUAUAUGUUGUAUCACAUAUUACUAAAGUAUUUGAAAUGCUCAUAGUAUAUAAAAGCUACUCUUAGAUGUUCUAGCUUUAAAGAUUGUGUAUUAGUAGCUAGAUGUGUAUUGUGGACAUCAGUGUAUUAUAGGGCUAUGACACAUGCUAGAGGGAGACUGUAUUUAGAAAUAAUCAUAAUUCUUGUAUCGUAAUUGUAGUAAAAGUGGAAUAAAAAAAUUAAUCAGUCAGUAAAAUGCUUUAAAAAUAUUUUUAGAUUUUAAAAGUGUUGAUCUUAUCAACAUGAUCCAAUUUUUUUUCAAAAAAGAGAUAUAUUGUUUUGAAUUUGUCAGCUCAGUUUGAAACACAUUUUGAAAUUUUGUAAUGAGUAAAGAAUUGUUUAUUUCUUUUAAAAAAAUCAAGAAAAUGAAAUGAUAGGAAACUUAUUCGUCAACUUUUUUUUUUUUUUUUAUAUUAUUAAACAAAAUACUCCAGACCAAAAGGUUUGAUAGCCAUUCAUUGAUAUAAUUUGUUUGAAUUAAACUAGAAAAUGCAGUCAUAUUAUGGUAUGGGUGUGUCAUUGCAGUUUAUUUUUAAAAGGCCUGUUUUAAAGAUAAAUUUAUUGUUGUUUAACUUACGAAUAAAGCUUGUGGUAUUUUUCAGUAAGAUAGCAACAUAUUUACGCACAAAAAAUAUCAAAGACAUCUGGAGGUAUGCAUUCCUAUGAUUAAUGGUUUUAUACAGUAUAAAUUUCCUCUUAAAAUAAAAAUGAUGGAUCUUGGAAUAUUUCUUGUUUCACAUUUUCUUUUAAUCCAAAAGUGAUAGCCUUUUUUUCAAGAUUUAUAUUAUUGAGCCCUUUGUGCUUUUUUCAAGGAAUCAUCAAUCAGUCAAUCUAUAUAACACUUUUAGUAUCGGUCAGAUAUUUCAAUAUAGAUCAUAUUAUUGCCAGAAAGGGACCAAUGUCUGAAAUAUGAAAAAAAAAUAAAAAAAUCUUCAUCUUGUCGAGUAUCAAGAUAAAUAUGAAAUGUACUUUAAUGGUCACUUAGCAAUUUUUUAAUUGACAGGCUCAAUGGAAAAUAUUGUCAACUGGCUUCAGUCGUAUCAUAAUGUGUCAGGCAUAGCCAAUAACUUGGUGUUCAAAACAUUUGAGAUAAGUGUUACUUGUAACACAUAUAACAAGAAUAGAUAUAACCCUGAUCAUUGUGCUUUAAUUGUAUAUGCAUAAAGUCAUCUGUUUUUAUUUUGUUAUUUAAUUAAUGUCAGUGUGAGAAAGAUUAAUUGUAGUUCUUAGAUGUUCUGAAUACAUGUAUGUGUCUUGAUUUGAAAUACAGUAUUUUACACUUGUGAAAAAAAUAAAAAGCUGAAGAUACAGCUGUUCAAAUUA